UAAACCACGAAAAAAGAGAGCAAUCUAAAAAUAAAGAAACUUCACCGCCAUUAACACACUAAACAAUGGCGACAAUGUCAGUUUCUCUCUCCUCAAACCAUAUCACUCCCCCAUUAUCAACACUAAACCGAAACCCCCUCAAUACUCUCACCCAGUCCCGAUUUCUCAAAACCCCAAUAAAAUUUAAUAAAUUAUCCGUUAAACUAAGUUGCUCCUACUCCGAAACAUCCAUUCCCACAUUCACAACAUCAUCUUCAGAAUCAGAUACUGAAGAAGAAGAAGAACAAAUUGAGGACAAAGAAUCAAACCCAUUUCUCGCAACGACAUCGUGUUCGAAUGGAGGGUUACCUCCACCAGUGCUGAAGAAGAGGAAGAGGUACAGGAAAGAGUAUCCUGGUGAGAGUAAAGGGAUUACUGAAGAAAUGAGGUUUGUUGCCAUGAAGCUUCGCAAUGAUAAAGGGUCUUUUAAGUCAUCUUCUUCGACGUCAAAUGAGGAGGACUCAGAUGAUGGGGAGGAGUCUGAUGAGUGUUGGGAGCCUAGUGUUGAAGGUUUUCUCAAGUAUUUGGUUGAUAGUAAGCUAGUGUUCGAAACGAUAGAAACUGUUGUCGAGGAUUCAAACGACGUGUCGUAUGCAUACUUCAGGAGAACAGGAUUAGAAAGAUCAGAGAGUUUGGCUAGGGACCUGGAAUGGUUCAGCCAACAAGGUAUGGUGAUUCCGGAGCCCAGCAAUCCCGGAGUUUCUUAUGUUUCAUAUUUGAAGGAGCUUGCAGAAUCGAGUGCCCCAUUAUUUCUCUCCCAUUUUUACAAUGUCUACUUUUCACACAUUGCUGGUGGGCAAGUGAUAGCGAAGAAGGUUGCUGAUACAAUUUUAAAGGGAAGACAAUUGGAGUUCUUUAACUGGGAUGGAGAUAAGCAAGAGUCCCUGAAAGAAGUUAGAGAUAAGCUUAACAGGCUUGGUGAGCAUUGGUCUCGUGAUGACAAAAACAAAUGCUUAAAAGAGGCAACUAAAUCAUUUAGGUACCUAGGACAGAUUGUGCGCUUAAUCAUCCUCAUAUAAGUGUGAUUAGAAGCCAAAAUUAGAGUAAAGAGUGUGAAUAGCAGCUUGAUGUGGAUUAGAACCUUUCAGCGAAGGCGUGUAGCAUUCUGCUUGUAGUAUAGAUGAUCUCCAGUAAUGUAAAAUGUCCCAACAUUUCCUUAUUCCAACCUACCCCGUCCCUGAUUCCUUGAUGCUUCUCAUGGAAAGCAGUUUCUUCUACAAAUUAAGGAUGGGAAAGUGAGCUUGCUGUUGGUACUUGCAGGAAAUUUGUGUACAAAAGCUUCUAGAAAGUCGAAUAUGAUUCACAAACUUGACAUAGCUUUGCCUCUCUCUUUGCCAGAAUAGACUUUGCUUAUUUUGUUGAAAAAGAUUCCAUUAGACCUGUGAAAGGCCUGCUUUACUGAGAUCCAGUCAAGCAGACACCGAGCUAUUGUCACCAGUGACUUUGAAGAAUGAUAUGAUUGCCCUAGGAUAAACCAUGUUCACUACUUGAUGUAAAUUCAUGAGAAGCUCAUUGUAAAUCAGAUAAAUAUUUUAGUGAAAGGUGGAACUAUAAGAAAAGACUGUAACUUAUGUCUGUUAAAUCUUUUAAAUUUGUUUCUCAUACAAAACUGUUGGUUCAUUUUACAUGGGAUCCUAAAAACUGA